AUUAAAGUCGAACCUUGUUUACAUUAACUACCAGAUCGACUAUCUUUGGAUUAUAACAAGAAAUAAAACUUUAAAAAGCAUUUUUUUUUGGCAAGCUGUUCAUUUUACAAGGAAAACUUUUGGGGAAGCAAAAAUUAAAAGAAGACAAUUUAGCGGUUGCCCAGGGCGUCAUAGGGCUGAAUGGCAAUUAUAGAAUAAAAUAGGGCGGCAUAAGGAACGCAAAGGUGAUACCACAAAAAAUGUCAACAAAUGUUGUCGAAACAAAUCUAUCUACUUCCUGGAGAAAAAUUUAAGUUACAAUUUUAAAUUCUAGUAUUUCCUAGUGAAUGAUGUAGAAAAACUAGUUUCAACGCCGAGGGUAUUAGUCAAUGCUAGUUUUAACUAGUGAAAACAAGUUUUAACAGGAGGGGUUCGUGAAAACUAAUAUUCCCUUGUCAAAACUAGAAUGAACUGUAAACGGAUUUUAAGUACCAUGAUGGUAGUAUAUGAGUAACUGCUCGGUUCAGCAAGUAACGUUCUCGAACGCUAUACCGAAGGGCACUUACUAAAUCGCUUAAAACUUUUAAGCAAAUAGGAAUUUUGAUUUUAAAUUUUGAAUCUUUAUUAUUGAAUAGUUUUACAAGCGAAUCACGUAAAAAAUUUAAGCCUCCACAUGUAUUCCCCCCCCCCCUUAAUAAAACACUAAAUUAAUAUUUCCAUACUUUAUUUACGAAUAAUAAUAUAAUUAACAAUUGUGAUAAAAUGCUAUAUUUUCUAACACUAAUUACAUAACUUUUGCCUGAUGGGUGGCAAAAAAAAUGGGUUAAAGCAUAGCUAACGUUCAUUGAAGCACAUAAUAAUAAAUAUUCAUAACUACUGGUUUCAUAAUCCCACCCUAACUAGUACUUCAACUAAAUGUUCUUUUAAAUUGAAGAGCCCUUUAAUUUAGUUGUUAAAGUAGUCCCAUAAUCGAUUUGUAACGGUAACGGUCUUUCAAUUAAAGGUUAAACGGAGGUUGACAAUACUCUAACCUUUUCCAAUAUGUUUCGUUAGAAAAAUAAAACAAAAUGAAACGUAGAAGUGAGUGUUAUUUUGUCGCUAACAUUUCUUUUGACUUAUUUAAGUUAUUAAAUUCCAUUUUUAAUUUCCAUUAUCCUAUCCAAUGUUUAUUUUUAAGUCCACGUCCCUUGUUCUCAUAAUAAAAUUAUUAUAUAAAUUUUCGGUGUUUGUAUUCACGUUUUCCAAUUUUGUCUAGAGGUAUCUCUGAAUGCGAUAUCCAUCGUCAUCCGCUAAAAGAUGUCUUCCAAAGUGCCUUUCUUCAAACUCCCUUCUCAAAGCACUGUUAUUGAAUAUUUAUCGGAAUCUGGCUAAAGAGCUACUAUGUUCGAACCGAAGCCAAGCAUUGGAUGCAGUUUGUACCUUUUUAUAUUUGUCGAUACAUUGUAUUCGCAUGAGCUGGAAGUAGCACGAUAUCUAGUCAUUGUGUCAUCAACCUUUUAUUUUCUAAAACUUAUUAGAAAAACGCCUGGGUCAGCUUAGAAUUCAAACAUGCAUUUGAAGUUUGCCGCUAAAGGAGACUUUAUAAUGUGCUAAAGUGCAACAUUUUUGACUUUACCUUAAUGUUCAAGUUAAAAGAACAUUUAGGUUAAAUGGAAAUUAUGAAGAACGUGACUUUGAAUUUGAAAAUUCCUUCAAAUAUAUUAAAAAAACAAGACCUAAAGAAUAUGUCCUAAAAUGGAUUUUUAAAAAUUCGCAUUAUCUUCGGAUAUGCAGUAGAUUUUGUGACCUAGCGUCUAAGCAGUUUUCCUCAAAACUACUUUUUUUGAAAUGGUUGACAUGAUAUCUCAAGUUCUACUCGACCGAUUUCCUUUGGUGGAAAUUCUUAUGCGUCUGCCUCAAUUUGGAGAAUUUUUAAAAAAUUCCAAAAGGUCAAAAAAUUGAUAUUUCAUGUCGAAGCCGUUUUGUGAUACUUUUUGCUAAGGUCAAUGCGAUAGCGACAUCUUUACAGAUUAAGUAUUUUUCAAUUUUUUUUUUUAUUCUAGACCACUACAAAGGGUGGAAUCAUAUCAAUCAGAGUGCAUCGUUUUUUUUAGCCACCCAAUUUACCGGUAUGUAAUUUAUUAAAAUUCUGAUUUUUAUACAGUUGAACAUCGUAAAUCCGGACUUCUAAAACGCGGAAUAUCUAAAAUCCGGACUGAUUCGUUCGUAACGUAGUUUUUAGCUUCUGUAUUUGACACUUGAUUGCGACACCAUAAAUAACGAUAGCAUGAAGAAAUUGUUUAUGUAUUUGAUUUGUUUAUUAUUAUUAUCAUUAUUUUAUAAAUGUAUUUUUGUGCAGUAUUAAACGCGAUUUUAUUAUAUUUUAUGCAUACCUCUCCCUCUGUUUACAUUAUUAUGUAAUGUUGCAAAUGAUUUCCUGUUAGCGCGAUAGAUGGCGCCACCCUAAAUGUAUUCAAAUAUGAAAAAUCUAAAAUCCGGAACCAAUACUUUUCCAAGGAUUCCAGAUUUACGAUGGACUGUAUAAAAAAAUGGACAGUAAAAAUUUUUUUCAGGUUAGUUUCUAGAUCAGAAUACCCAUUUGAACAGUUUUUGUCACAAAAUAUUUCGAUUUAUCCAUUAUUGUGAUGUAAAAAUAUCUCAAAACGAUAAAUAUUAUAAAGCUGUAAUUGCCACAAUGAACGAAUACAUUUUAUGGCAGUGUUGGUUCAACCGUCAACGACUAACCAUUUUUCUUGAAUUUGUUCGACUUGUUGAGUUUGGAUCGGCGUUCUCAACCUCGCUUGGAUUUCCAAUUUACCUCCUACCUUUUUUCUACCUUCCAAAAGCUACAAAUUAAAAAAUUAUAUACAUUUAUCUAUUAUUACAAAUUUUAAAAUGGUACUUACAUCGAACGUAUCAUGAAUUUCACAUUGUGUUUCCAACUGUUGUAAUUUAACAUUAACAGUUCCUAUUAGAACGUCGCUCCUGAAGAACCCUCUGAAAAUAUGACACAGAUUAUUAUUUAGUUCAGAAAAAAUUUUAUAUGUGUGUAUUCUGAUCGCCUAAAAUUGAUUGCUGCUCUAUCAAAAUGUGAAAACAGAUUUGUUUUAAUUGUAAAAAAGGGCAAAAGUUUCUGAAAUACAAUAAUCUCUUACAACA